UACAGAGGUGGCAAGCGUUGCUCGGAAUUACUGGGCGUAAAGGGCUCGUAGGUGGCCAACUAAGUCAGACGUGAAAUCCCUCAGCUUAACUGGGGAACUGCGUCUGAUACUGGAUGGCUUGAGUUUGGGAGAGGGAUGCGGAAUUCCAGGUGUAGCGGUGAAAUGCGUAGAUAUCUGGAGGAACACCGGUGGCGAAGGCGGCAUCCUGGACCAACACUGACACUGAUAAGCGAAAGCCAGGGGAGCAAACGGG
rnacentral:rRNA from 1 species